rnacentral:rRNA from 1 species
CGCUUUUUGUUAACAAUAAAUGAAAAGUAGAGCCUGCCCAGUGAAGAAAUUUAAACGGCCGCAGUACCCUGACUGUGCGAAGGUAGCAUAAUCAUUUGCUCUUUAAUUGGGAGCUGGAAUGAAUGGUUUGACGAGGGCUUAACUGUCUUAAAUUGAUUUAUUAGAAAUUGACUUUUAGGUGAAGAGGCCUAAAUUAAUUUAUAGGACAAGAAGACCCUAUUGAGCUUUAAUUUUUUGUUUAAAUAAAAAUAUAUUGAUAGAGUUUAAUUAAGUAUAAGAUUUUGAUUGGGGCGAUCAAGGAAAAAAAUAAUCUUCCUUUAUAUGUGUAAAUUAUGUUAAUUGGUGAUCCAGAAUGGUUCUGAUUAUAAGAAGAAGUUACCAUAGGGAUAACAGCGUAAUCUUUUUUGAGAGUUCUUAUCGAAAAAGAGGGUUGCGACCUCGAUGUUG